rnacentral:rRNA from 1 species
UACGUAGGGUGCAAGCGUUAAUCGGAAUUACUGGGCGUAAAGCGUGCGCAGGCGGUUCUAUAAGACAGAUGUGAAAUCCCCGGGCUCAACCUGGGAACUGCAUUUGUGACUGUAGAGCUGGAGUGCGGCAGAGGGGGAUGGAAUUCCGCGUGUAGCAGUGAAAUGCGUAGAUAUCGGGAGGAACACCAGUGGCGAAGGCGGCGACCUGGGCCAAUAUUGACGCUGAGGUGCGAAAGCGUGGGGAGCAAACAGG